UCUCUCUCUCUUACAUCAUUAGUGGUCAGUGAACGUUUUGUGCUAACUUUGAUAGGAUCUCUGCCAGACACCGCAGCUCACCAGUCACCUCCACCACAAGUGUGGACCCCGCUACAGAGACCACCACCACUCAUAAGCUUGAUCUAACAGGUUGGGGGAGGGGGUGAGACAAGAACGAAGCAACGUCAGCAGUAGCUGGAACAGUAUUAAUCCAGACACCACGCUCGCUACAUCUCUCCAGCCACCACGCCACCACCGACCCUCGAGUGUACGCAGCCCAGUGUCCGUCUGUGUCUUGUCGUGGGCGUGACGUUCAGCAGCGGCAGGAACAGCAACGGGAAGCUUGAUCUACGUGGGUCUUCGUGCGGCGAGGUGACGUGCCGCUGCUGUGAGAUUAUCGGACCACACCACAGCACAGCACAGCACAGAGGAGGAGAGAAUAGGUACCAGAAUCGGCGAAAAGAAUGAGUGGACAAGAUUUCCUAACGUAACGAGGCUGGUGUUUCAAGGCGUUGACGAUCCAAAGGCCUGACUCCACAGCGGUAAUGAGCCUCGUCUACCUUGCACUUUGACGGAC